UGGGGAAUUUUGGACAAUGGGCGAAAGCCUGAUCCAGCAAUGCCGCGUGUGUGAAGAAGGCCUUCGGGUUGUAAAGCACUUUUGUCCGGAAAGAAAUGGCUCUGGUUAAUACCUGGGGUCGAUGACGGUACCGGAAGAAUAAGGACCGGCUAACUACGUGCCAGCAGCCGCGGUAAUACGUAGGGUCCAAGCGUUAAUCGGAAUUACUGGGCGUAAAGCGUGCGCAGGCGGUUGUGCAAGACCGAUGUGAAAUCCCCGAGCUUAACUUGGGAAUUGCAUUGGUGACUGCACGGCUAGAGUGUGUCAGAGGUGGGUAGAAUUCCACGUGUAGCAGUGAAAUGCGUAGAGAUGUGGAGGAAUACCGAUGGCGAAGGCAGCCCCCUGGGAUAACACUGACGCUCAUGCACGAAAGCGUGGGGAGCAAACAGG
rnacentral:rRNA from 2 species